GCUGUGUAUUCAUCUUGGUCUCGUCCACUUUGUCCCAGACCGUGGUAGAAGAAGGAUCGCGAAGUUGUGUAGUUUCCGUGGUGUAAUUGUUACCCUAGCUAGAUAUCGAAGUUUGUGCGGUAAAAGUUGUGCGUGUUGAACUGUUGUGUCAGAGUUCAAAGCCUAGCGCAAGCUACGGCUUUUUCAUUCAGAGCCAACCCAAAAAUACCGCACAAAGCGCAGACGAAAAGCUAGCCGCCGCACCACCCUCCGUCGCGCAUCCAGUCUACGCUCUGGAAGCAAAGUUUCCCGGCGGUUUGAGGCCGGAAGGGAGUCGCGAACGCCCUCAACGCACUCCAGGCGACUAUUCCGUUCAUCGUUCGCCCAGCCAGUAAGUUCACGGCACGAGAAAACCACCAAAAUCUCGUGCGUGAACGUGAAACUCGGUUGUAGCUCAACGAGUCAUCGCUGGUGGCAGCCAUCGCCGUCGUCGUCGUAGGAAGCGCAAAAGGGAGCUUGAAAGCGUAAGCCCCGAAAGACCGUGAGUAGAGAGCCUUGCAUGCAAGCACCUUAGCACAGACACACAAUAUUAGCUAGAGUAGGCAAAAAACCGCACACGUUAGGUAGCCAGAUGUGAACAGGGGAAAUUAAG